CUCCGGUUGAUCCCGCCGGACCCGACUGCUAUCAGAGUGGGACUAAGCCAUGCGAGUCGACGUAGCAAUGCGUGGCGAACGGCUCAGUAACACGUAGUCAACAUGCCCAGGGGACGUGGAUAACCUCGGGAAACUGAGAAUAAACCACGAUAGGUCAUGAUUUCUGGAAUGGAUCAUGGCUCAAAUCUACAUGGCCCCUGGAUUGGACUGCGGCCGAUCAGGCAGUUGGUGAGGUAAAGGCCCACCAAACCUAUAACCGGUACGGGCUCUGAGAGGAGAAGCCCGGAGAUGGGCACUGAGACAAGGGCCCAGGCCCUAUGGGGCGCAGCAGGCGCGAAACCUCUGCAAUAGGCGAAAGCCUGACAGGGUUACUCUGAGUGAUUUCCGCUAAGGGGAUCUUUUGGCACCUCUAAAAAUGGUGCAGAAUAAGGGGUGGGCAAGUCUGGUGUCAGCCGCCGCGGUAAUACCAGCACCCCGAGUGGUCGGGACGAUUAUUGGGCCUAAAGCAUCCGUAGCCGGUUCUGCAAGUCUUCCGUUAAAUCCAGCCGCUCAACGGAUGGGCCGCGGAGGAUACUACAGGACUAGGAGGCGGGAGAGGCAAGCGGUACUCAGUGGGUAGGGGUAAAAUCCUUUGAUCCAUUGAAGACCACCAGUGGCGAAGGCGGCUUGCCAGAACGCGCUCGACGGUGAGGGAUGAAAGCUGGGGGAGCAAACCGGAUUAGAUACCCGGGUAGUCCCAGCUGUAAACGAUGCAGACUCGGUGAUGGGCUAGCCUUGUGCCAGCCCAGUGCCGCAGGGAAGCCGUUAAGUCUGCCGCCUGGGGAGUACGGUCGCAAGACUGAAACUUAAAGGAAUUGGCGGGGGAGCC
rnacentral:rRNA from 1 species